rnacentral:rRNA from 1 species
UACAGAGGGUGCAAGCGUUGUUCGGAUUUACUGGGCGUAAAGCGUACGCAGACGGCUUGGUAGGUCGGAUGUGAAAGCCCCGGGCUCAACCCGGGAAUUGCAUCCGAAACCACCUCGCUCGAGUGUGGGAGAGGGAAGCGGAAUUCCUGGUGUAGAGGUGAAAUUCGUAGAUAUCAGGAGGAACACCGGUGGCGAAGGCGGGUCUCUGGGCAGUAACUGACGCUGAGGAGCGAAAGCGUGGGGAGCGAACAGG